UUAAUUCACGAUUUAAAAAAAAAAAUCGUAAACUUUAUUUUUUUUGACAAUAAAGUCAUAAUUACCGGCUAACCGGCAACAAAUGGUAAGCAUGUCAAAAACUUACGGUAGUUAGGACUUUACUGUCAAAAAAAUAAACUUUAUGAUUUUUUUUGUCAAAACGUUGAAAAUAUUAGGACUUUAGUGUAUAUAUUCCUAUCAACAAAAACCAUUGUAAAAUUCAUGAUUUAAAUGUUUUUUUGUCUUAUAUAUAAGUUCAUGAAACGCCAUUGAAGAUGUGGCUCAUGAAAAUGUGACAGCGCUCAAGGUUCAAGCAAGAAGAGAUGAACCGACAAGGGUGGUUUCCACGAUGACUGCUGCAAUAAGUUAAAGUAAGGUGUGAAGAUGUUUGAAGCAGAUGGUCAAGUGUUGCGCGACGCAGGACAUGCGCAACAGUUUUCAAGUCAGAAGCCUUCUGAAAAACAAACAACUACGAAUGGCCAAAUGAUAUGUGUGUGUUCUGUGCGACGCAACAAUAAGUGGUCAGAAGUGGUUUUUUAAGAAAAAAAAACACCACCUAAGAGUUUGCUCGAUGUUAUCUAGAAAAUGAUGUAACAUGUGGUUUCCUCCAUGAAAGUCACUUGUGAACAUAAUAUGGUUCAAAACUUCGAUCAAUCUUUUAUCAACAAAAUACAUACAUACCCUUAAAAGAUUGAUAAAUGUUAAGAUUAGAAGGGAAGUCUUUUCAAGUAUUUUCGGUCAAAAUGAAGCCAAAAAUUGUGGCAGAAAAUGAUUGAACUGAUCAAUGAAACAAAACAAAAUCAAAAUCGGGGACCAAUAUCUAAUGGCCUGUUAACUUUGUGGGUUGAAUAAACCAAAAUCGGAUAAACUGAUAAUCGAGUUCCCGGGCACAAAAAAAAAGAA